rnacentral:rRNA from 1 species
GAUACAGAAAGUAAGCAAGGGCAGACGGUGGAUGCCUUGGCUCUCGGAGGCGAUGAAGGACGUGAUAAGCUGCGAUAAGCUUGGGGUAGGUGCAAAUAACCUUUGAUCCCAAGAUUUCCGAAUGGGGCAACCCGGCUGGUAGAAGGCCAGUCAUUCCGUAAGGAAGGCGAACGUGGGGAACUGAAACAUCUAAGUACCCAUAGGAGAAGAAAACAAAAGUGAUUCCGCAAGUAGUGGCGAGCGAACGCGGAACAGCCCAAACCGAUGAUGUUUAGGCAUUGUCGGGGUAGUAGGACCACGUUGUGGCAAGAGAUUAAGGAAGUAGAACGUUUUGGAACAAACGGCCGUAGACGGUGAAAGCCCGGUAUACGACUCUUUAACGAAGCCUAGUGGAAUCCUGAGUAGCGCGGAGCACGAGAAAUUCUGUGUGAAUCAGCGGGGCCCAUCCCGUAAGGCUAAAUACUCCCGAGAGACCGAUAGCGAACCAGUACUGUGAAGGAAAGGUGAAAAGCACCUCGAACAGAGGAGUGAAAUAGUCCCUGAAACCGUCUGCCUACAAGCGGUCGGAGCAACGUAAGUUGUGACGGCGUGCCUUUUGCAUAAUGAACCUACGAGUUACUUUCUCCGGCAAGGUUAAGGGCUUCAGGCCCGGAGCCGAAGCGAAAGCGAGUCUUAAUAGGGCGUGAUAGUCGGAGUGAGUAGACGCGAAACCAAGUGAUCUACCCUUGGUCAGGAUGAAGGUUGGGUAACACCAACUGGAGGUCCGAAUGGGUAUACGUUGAAAAGUGUUCCAAUGAACUGAGGGUAGGGGUGAAAGGCUAAUCAAACUUGGAGAUAGCUCGUACUCCCCGAAAUGCAUUUAGGUGCAGCCUUUAUUUAGUAUAGCAUGAGGUAGAGCGACUGAUUGGAUGCGAGGGCUUCACCGCCUAUCAAGUCCAGAUAAACUCCGAAUGCGUGCUAUAUAUUGAUAAGGAGUGAGGGCGCGGGUGCUAAGGUCCGCGUCCGAGAGGAGAAGAAUCCAGACCAUCAGCUAAGGUCCCCAAAUAACAGUUAAGUUGAACUAACGAAGUCGGACUGCAGAGACAGCUAGGAUGUUGGCUUGGAAGCAGCCAUUCAUUUAAAGAGUGCGUAACAGCUCACUAGUCGAGGAGUCCGGCGUGGAUAAUACUCGGGCAUAAACUGUUUACCGAAGCUAUGGAUGUGUAAACACAUGGUAGGGGAGCAUUCCAACGGCGUCGAAGGUGAAGGAUGACCUUUGCUGGAGCUUUUGGAAACGCAAAUGUAGGUAUAAGUAACGAUAAAGGAGGUGAGAAACCUCCUCGCCGAAAGACUAAGGUUUCCUGAUCAACGUUAAUCGGAUCAGGGUAAGUCGGGACCUAAGGUUAAGCCGAACGGCGAUACCGAUGGAAGAAUGGUUUAAUAUUCCCAUACUACUUUAUGGAGCGAUGUGGAGACGGAGAAGUGACAGUCCUGCCAUCUGACGGAAUAGGUGGUUGAAGAGUGUAGAUGUAGAUUCCUGUAGGCAAAUCCGCAGGGAGAGUCGACCUUGACAGUAUGCCGCGUGCUUGCACAAGGCAAAAUGGACGUAAUCAGGCUCCCAAGAAAAUCCGCUAAGCAUAUUCAUAAAGUACCCGUACCGUAAACGGACACACGUAGUUGGGUUGAAAAUACUGAGGCGCUCGAGUGAUUCACGGUUAAGGAACUAGGCAAAUUGACCCUGUAACUUCGGGAUAAAGGGUCCCUACUGAGAGGUAGGGCGCAGAGAAUAGGUCCAGGCAACUGUUUAACAAAAACACAUGGCUGUGCGAAAUAGAAAUAUGAAGUAUACAGCCUGACACCUGCCCGGUGCUGGAAGGUUAAGAGGAGAGCUCAUCGCAAGAGAAGGCUUGAAUUGAAGCCCCAGUAAACGGCGGCCGUAACUAUAACGGUCCUAAGGUAGCGAAAUUCCUUGUCGGGUAAGUUCCGACCUGCACGAAUGG